rnacentral:tRNA from 1 species
CCCUGAGUGGUGCAAAAGGUUAAUGUGCUUGGCUGCUGACCAAAAGGUUGGUGGUUCAAGUCCACCCAGGGGGU